UCCAAUUCCCAAUUUAGUAACGUUGUCGAGCGUUCUUUCUUUAUAGCCUUCAAAAGAAACCUCCAAUUUGGCAGUCUAAAGAUACAGAUUCAUUAUGGAAGGUCGGACUGAAGCUGAUCUAUCCGUUUCAUAAAUGAAGCCCAAUAUUGACAAACCACGAUGCCAAAGUCCAGCCGAUGAGAACCAAGCCAACCUUCAAUGAUGACACUAAGUACUGUGCUAGUCUGUUGAUUAGUGGCUGAAGCACAAAGUAUAACAACAACGUACAGCAAAAAAAAAAAAACACGCACAAAA